GGAUUAAUAACCAUAUAAGUACAACUGUUCACAUGUUUCUUGAUUUAACGCUGUAAAGAACAAAAUUGGAAUGUCCAGAUCAUAGAUAAAAGAAACUAUAUAUCAAAGAGGUUCAACUCCAAAACCUAAUGCACUGGAACAAAAUAUAUCUAUACAAGGCGGGUCUCACACAGACGCCAUAAACACAAAGAACUCCCUAUACACUGACCAUUUGAUCCUCUUGUUUAGCCCUGGUUGAAAGGAUGUAAUGAAAUUCCAUCAGAUGAUUUAGAAGAGUUCCUCCUUGAAUUACGAAUGAUGUGCAUUCAGCAGUGCCCGGUAUAUCAUGUCUAUGAAUUGGUCGUCCUGAACAAGCAUUACAAGUGCUUCCCGCACUUUAUCUCUGUUAACAACAGGAAUAUUGUUUGGGAUAGAAGAAGAAGUAGGAGUGAGAGAAGGAGGAGGAGUGGGCGGAGGAAAUGGUUGAAGCAAAGGAGCUCCAUAAGGGCGCUGGAGAUUUCCAAGUGGAAGAAGUGGAGGAGCAGUAGGCACUGAUGAAGAAAUGGGAGGCAUCAGCGGAGAGGAGGCAGGUGGAGGACCAAAAAAAGAUGACGGCUUCACCAGAUUUGAGGACCAUUUAGCACUGACAUCUGGUUCAGGUGCAUCAUGGAGGGGCCUCAAAAGGGAAGAAGCUGAAAGAGGAGGAGAUGGAAGCAGGACUGGUGCUGAAGACGAAGGAACAGAAGGAGGAGGACGAGGAGGAGGUAGGGUAGCUGGAGAUGCGUGGUAUAGCUGCCCUUGAACUGCAGUAUUAGAAGCAUUUCCAAUUGUCAAUGCAUUACUGAAGAAGUUCACAAAGGAAUUGUCCUCAGGGAGAUGUGGAGCAUUUGAUGCAGUAGACGAUGAAGGCUCCAGAGGACCAUCAAUUACAGCCAUGGUUGGAACUGCUUCCAGCUCUUCAAAUUCACUCUUUGUCAAUGGAACUUUUGACUUGGUAGGCACCUUGGAAUAUGCACCGAGUAUCCUGUCAAAGAGAUUUGCAACUUCUUCACAUUCA
rnacentral:misc_RNA from 1 species